UACGUAGGGGCCUAGCGUUGUCCGGAUUUAUUGGGCGUAAAGAGCUCGUAGGCGGCCUUCUAAGUCUGGUGUGAAAGCCCGGGGCUCAACCCCGGAAGUGCAUUGGAUACUGGGAGGCUGGAGUACCGGAGAGGAGAGUGGAAUUCCUGGUGUAGCGGUGAAAUGCGCAGAUAUCAGGAAGAAUAUCCGUGGCGAAGGCGGCUCUCUGGUACGGCACUGACGCUGAGACGCGAAAGCGUGGGGAGCAAACAGG
rnacentral:rRNA from 1 species